rnacentral:rRNA from 1 species
GGACCUACACAAGCGGUGGAUCACGUGGCUUAAUUCGACAGUAAGCGAGGAACCUUACCAGGGCUUGACAAGGUAGUGAAAGCUAUAAGAAAUUAUAGCCCAUCGCAAGAACACUACCCCAGGUGCUGCAUGGUUGUUGUCAGCAGGUGGCUUGAGUUGCUCCCUUAAAUGGGGUAACCUGCGCAACCCUUGCUCUAUGUUUUAUAUGUCAUAGAGGACUGCCCGGGACAACCGGGAGGAAGGUGGGGAUGACACCAAAUCAGCAUGGCCUUUUGAUGCCCUGGGCUGCACACGUGAUACAAUGGAACUGACAAAGGGUCGCCAAGCCGUAAGGCGGAGCUAAUCCCAUCAAACAGUUCCCCAAUUCGGAUUGAGGUCUGAAACCCGACCUCAUGAAGCCGGAAUCGCUAGUAACCGUGGAUCAGCCACGUCACGGUGAAUAUGUCCCUGGGUCUU